CUAGCCGUAAACGAUGGAUACUAGGCGUUGUGAGUAUCGACCCUCGCAGUGUCGUAGCUAACGCGUUAAGUAUCCCGCCUGGGGAGUACGCGCGCAAGCGUGAAACUCAAAGGAAUUGACGGGGGCCCGCACAAGCGGUGGAGUAUGUGGUUUAAUUCGAUGCAACGCGAAGAACCUUACCAGGACUUGACAUGUCGCGAAUCUCAGGGAAACUUGAGAGUGCCUUCGGGAGCGCGAACACAGGUGGUGC
rnacentral:rRNA from 1 species